GAGAACCACCCUAUAUACUCUAACUUGGGUUCCAUGGUGGAGGAUAUAAAUUGAAUGAAUCAGUCAGUCAGUCAGUCAGUCAAUCAAUUGUCUUUCAGGAUUGGUUGCUCUUCUGAGCUGGGAGGAGAUUCCUUCACAACCCCAAAAAAGGAAAGGCCCCCUGGCUGAGGGAGAAGGUCCCAGAUUUGGUUCCCUUCCCUCUCCAGUUCAAAAGCCUCCCACCUGCAAGGCCGGAUGAAAACAUAUUGGCUCUGUCAGUUUGUCAAUUCUCUGAGCAAGGAUGGGUAGGUGGAGAUACACUUAGGAAAUGUAACUGGGCAUUACUUCACAGUUCACCUGCACUGAUCACAGUCCAUGCCCUGAAAAGGAUCCUAACAGAAAUGGACCAGAUCUCGGGCCUUGCACAUCCAAGAGGGGUGCACAGUUGCACCCUGUCUUCUUUGUCUUUUGUCUUUGCAUUCAAAGAACUUUUUGUUUUCUUUUUGCUUUGAGAGUGUGCGUGUGAAAAGAAGAGGAAAUUUAACCUGUUUGGGAGUUCUGCUUGAGAAGUAUGUGUGACCUGUUGUAACCACAGGAGCAACCUCAAAGCAACACAUCCCCUUGGUGGCUGGCUGUGUCCAGCACCCCACCCAUGCCUGCAGAGUAUGAAAAGGGCCGUGGCUCAGCCUGUGCUGUAACCUCACCACCCCACCCACAAGUUUGCCCCUUCUCAUCCUGCCUCUCUGGUGGCAAUGUUGUGGCACUCUUGCGGGAAAAAGAAACCAACAUGCCUGGCUGCUUUGGAGUCAGUAAGAAUAUCUGCCUUUUAAGACAUCCUCAGAGAAGAGCACUGUGGAGAUGGUAGAGGAAAGUCAAAUCCUUCUCUUCUUCCCAACUUAGACUUGGGGCCCCCGGGGCCAUAGCUAUCUGUCUUCACCUGCUAUCUCGGCAGCUACUUCUCCUGGACCCUUUCAGACAUCUUUUCUAUUGUGCACUCGUGAUGCUGUUGGGGCAGUUACAGUAUAUGCAAUCCCACUAUCCAUAUUGUUUACGCCUGCAAAAGUUUUGGGAUGAACAUGCUGCUUUACUUCUAGUCGGUGAAUGUUCCGUAGCUUCCUGCUGAAAUCUUAUAACUUCUCAUACUUCAUAUGUUCUGGGUUUGCUUUGUUGCUGCCCCACACCCUUGUGUUCUGUUAUAGUAUAUCUCCAGACAGUAAUAAUGUGAUAACAUUGAGGAUGCAUUGCAGAACAGAAUGAUGUAGGGGUGGUCAUGGAUUUACCACCAGUGCACUGUUACUGGGAAAAUGAGCUGUUUCAGAAUAUUCCCUCAAAAGAUCACAAGUCUGUGUUGACCACUGCACCACAAAUGCCCCUUCCCACCCAUGUUAUCCAGAAUACCCUAUUGCUAUCCCAUGGGGGUUUUCCUUCUGAGAAUGCCAUUUGACCUGCCAUUCACUCCACUAGCUGCUCUCCUGUCACUCACUAGCUUCUCUCUCUCCCCCUCCCCCUCUGUCUAUCCUUUUUGAAGUUCACAAUUCAUUUAAGUCAAGAGGCGGGAAAGUUAUUGCCUCUAAAGCCCCUUUCAUUUCACAGUAAAUCCUCUUUACUGCUUUUACACAGCCUCUUAGCACUGGUGCGAUCCUGCUGCAGGGAGGGGAGGUGUGCCUUCGGACUCUCCUAGGUUGGAGGCAGGUCAGGGUGGGAGAGUUUGUGGUUUUUUUUAGGAAAGGAUCACAGAUGAGGUGUGUUAAUCAGGGCUUGGAAGGAGGACAAGUCUAACCUCUGUUGGGUCCCACGUCCUUUUGCUGUGCUGGUGUGGCUCUGGAAGGUUGGCAGGGCCCUGUGGACAGCCCAUGGAGCAUCUGAGAGAGGAAGCUCAGGAUCCCUUGCCAUGUUGUGAAUUCCAGAUGCGCAGUCCUUGGAUGGCAAUACUCUUCUUGUGGCUGAUCAAAGGCGAGAGGCUGGUUCUUAAUUUAAAUGUUUUUCUUUUUAAAAAGACUGUUUAGUCUGAGUUUCAGAAGACUACAACGGUCUCUGGGAUUGCCAGUGAAAUUUUGACUGCUAGAUGCAAGUUCCCUUUUCACACAGUUUUCAUACAAUGGAACAUACGGAAUUCACUGCCACAAGACAUGGUGAUGGCAGCCAGGCUAAUGGGCUUUUUUUAAACAAUGCACAAAAAUUCUAGGAAGAGGAGAUCAUCUCCCAAAGGUCUGUUAAGUCAUGAUAAACAGGCCUCCAGAGGUAGUUUUUAUUUUUCUGAUCACAAGAUGCUUGAGAAAAGAACAGUCCCAAACGGAAGGAUUUUAAACAACUCCAAUAAGAUAUUCUAAACCAUUAUGUUUCCUUAUGUUGAAUGGCACCACCAUUGGUUGUCUACACUGAGUGAUAGUGAUUCUCCAGGAUCUCUGACAAAGGUCUUUCAUUUUUAGUCAGGAGAUGAUCCUUUUUACCUGGAGAUGCUGGGGGCUCCACCAAUAAACUAUGGGCCCCUCAGCAGGUUUCUAGAGGAGGGAAUCACCUAGUUGUGGGGUGGUCCCCCCCCGUGUGUGUGUGUGUGUGUGUGUGUGUGUGUGUAGAUGAGAGAAAUUCAUGUUUUACUUGUGACUCAGACCUGGUGCGCAUUUAACACUCACUGUGGGGAGUUUGCUGACUACAGUCUCUGUGGGAUGAGUGCUCCAUGUCAUGGUGGUAACGCAAAGGGGUGCCUGUCCUGAAUCAUUUCCACACCUUAACUUUAAAGCACUCUUAAUACUGCUUUAAAAGUCAUGGCUUUCUCUAAAGAAUCCUGGGGUAUGUAUUUUGCUAAUGAUGCUGUCCUUCACUCAACAGUACCUAGCACUGCUAACAAACUUCAGUUCCCAGGAUUCGUUUGUGGGGAAGCCAUGACUAUGAAAGUGACGUAAGAGUGCUUUAAAUGUAUAGUGUAUUUGUGGCCACCACCCUGAUGCGAUACCCAGCAGUGGUUGCCAGGUAUAUUAAGCAGGGGCAUGGAGAUUCUUUAUGCAGUGACAUUGGUUUAUGUUAUGAGCUGCUGCCUAUGUUACAACCAAAACAUGAAUCACUUGCCACAGGGCUGCAGCUAUGGUUGACAGCAAGUGUAGUUUGUGCACUAGCCAUAAUGUGGAUAAGAGAAAGAGGAAAGCGCCUUGGGGCCUGUUGUUGCAAGAUCCCAGCACAUCCUUUGAGCUUGGGUCUGGAGGUUAUUGGCAUAUGUACGCCAUCCCCUCUAGCAUGCUGCACUGCAGCUGUCCUUACCCCAGCAGAUCUCUCACUCCUCACAGGACUACUGCAGGAUGUGUGUCUGGUCUAGAAAGCCAUUCAUUGCUACUUGGGAAGGUCGGAGGGGGAAGGAUUAGAUGCAAAGAUAUGCUACCUGAUGCAUGAGCCUCUUCCUCUUCCACCCGUGGCUUCCUCAUCUUCUGCACACUGAAAGCUGUCUUAUCCCCUGUUAAGACUAGGUGGUUUGUCCAUCUGACCAGUUUUGCCUUCUCUGACUAGCAGCAACUCUGCAGGGUCUUGCACAGUGUCCCCCCCCCCCGCUCUGCCCCCCCCCCCGGCUACCUGGCCCUUUUAACUUAAGAUGCCUGGAAUUGAACCUGAGAGAUGCUGCCUGCAAAGCGGGUGCCCAGUCUAGCGAAAUGAAGAGACAUGCAGUAAAUAACAGAAUGCAGUGGUACCUCGGGUUACAUAUGCUUCAGGUUACAGACGCUUCAGGUUACAUAGUCUCCGCUAACCCAGAAAUAGUACCUCAGGUUAAUAACUUUGCUUCAGGAUGAGAACAGAAAUCAUGCGGCAGCGGCGUGGCGGCAGCGGGAGGCCCCAUUAGCUAAAGUCGUACCUCAGGUUAAGAACGGACCUCCGGAACUGUACAGUAAUCCUAAUCACCUUGGAAGGACCUCCCACUUUCUGAGGCCUGAAAGGGAGGUCAGAGGGUUUCCUGAUGAGCGCUGAAAUCUCUUGCAUCAUGGCCAAACUUCCCAUAGUGUUCUGGGGGUGGAAGAUCAGGGGAAGUUUUUAACUGGAGAUGUCAGGGACUGUCCCUUGGACUUUCUGCAUACAAAACAUUUGCUCUGUGCAGCAUUUGCUUUGUUAACGCCCUGACAAAUUUCUGUACUACACAAGUCAGCAUCUUGGGUCUUAGAAAAGAUUGUUAGGUUGUUUUAAUAUUUAUUUGUUUUAAAUAUUUGUAGCCCUAUUUUUAGGGUCUACAACUAUACCAGCUUUAUGAAGUUCUUUAAUAUGGGAAUAAUUGUGUGGCUUGCAGGCAUAUUCCCAGUGAGUCCACAUGGUAAAGCAGGAAUUUGAAUCUGGUCUUCCCCUGUUCAUACUCAGCACUCUUGACAUGCUCAGAGAGAAGUGCCACAGAGAUAAGCUAAAGUCUGGAUGCUUUUGAACUGCCUUGCGUUGGGGAGUUCCUCUGUUUGGCAGCUUCAACUCCAUUCUUAAGUGAGCAGAAAGGGUUCCUUUGACGUUGCUCCUCCAGUUCAUUGGUUUGGGUUGGAGUUCCAUUCUCCCCCCAUUCCAUAUACACUCUUCUUUCCUAAUCUUCAAACCCCAAGACUGACAGCUUAUUUGGUUUUGCCAGGGCCACUUAGUAACAGGAUUUUGGUCUGUUUUCUGAUCCAUUGUGGCCUGCACGGGUACCUGCAGUUCUGGAUUUUUUUUUGCUUUUCUAUUUAGCAAAGGGGUUGAGUUCAUUCAGCCUCCCAGCUAGUCCCUUAAUUCAAAGGGAAAUGACCAGUCCUGACCCAGAACAUUGGGGACUGGACUGGAGCUCCUGUGCUAUUGUUAAACAUUCAACCUACAACAAGCUGCUUUCUUUUGUGGCCCUUUCUGCUGUCUCUGUCUCCUUUGCCCUUCUCCUUCCCCAUGUUCUUAUCUCUUUUUCAAGUCCUGUGACCUUGUAUGGGCACAAUCUUUCUUUUUUAUUUGUCUGUGCCUUUGCAGCCGCCCACACAGCUCUCUUGCUAAUCUCCCAAGCACACCCUUCCCUGUCCCUCCUUCAUUUCUAGCUUUCCAAGACUCCGGCUCCCUACAUAAUGGCCCCAGCAGUGGCUCCAAAAAAACAAACAAGCAAGAGGCAGAUCUUCUGGACGAGUGAUUUUUGAACUUGUUUUCUCUGCCAUCUGAUAGAAUCAUAGAGUUGUAGAGUUGGAAGGGACCCCAAGGGCCAUCCAGUCCAACCCCCUGCAGUGCAGGAAUCUCAGCUAAAGCAUCCAAAGCAGAUGGCCAUCAAGCCUCUGCUUAAAAACUUCCAGUGAAGGAAAGUCCACAACCUCCUGAGGAAGUCAGAGUCUUGAUGUUGGUCUCAAGCCGAGUCCCAUGAGGACGAGCAACUUUGGUGUUUCCUCUAGCAAAAGCAGAGGCAUUCAUGCUUUUAAGAAUAUGUACCUCAAACAGUGCUGUUCUUCUGUAUUGCUUGCAUCUAGUGCAUUGCUUUCAUUCACGCCACAGUUGUGUGAGAGAGGUUGCUAUUUUCAGUUUACAGGCGGAGAACAGGCAGGCAGGCGGGCACAAGUGCACUUUGUGGGCAUAGCUUUGGGCUCUACAGGUUCUCAUUCUGGACUCUUGCUGCUUCCCCUUCAUUGUGAUUCAAACCCCAAAGCUAAGGUUACAUCUAUAUCAUACCCUUAAAGCAUGUGGCUUUCCCCAAAGAAUUCUGGGAGCUACAAUUCCCAGCAUUCUUAACUGCAGUUCCCAGGGUUCUUUUUUUGGGGGGGGGAGCCAUGUGCUUUAUAAUGUAUGCUGUAGAUGUGACAAGGCCUCACUGGUGUCUUGUAUUGUGGUUUAAUAGUACCUGUUGUUUGUCAAUUUUACUUGUCACCUAAUACUGUAAAUUUGACAAAUAACAACAGAAAGUCUCUUGGCAAUUUACAAACACAGUAAAAACAACCACCACCAAGCUUAACAAUAAAAUAACUUUAAUAUGUAUCACAGAAACAGCAAUAAACAUGAUGAUCAUAUUUUCUCUAUUGCCUGCGAGAAGAGGUAUGUCUUAACAGUGAGCCCAAAGGAUGCUAAUGUCAGCACCAGGCAGGCCUUGCUUGGGAGAGCAUUCCAUCGAUGGGAAGAGGUCAUUGCUGAAAAGGCCCUGUCCCUUCUUUCCACCCUUCAAACCUCUCAUAGUGAUGCCAUUUGGAGCAGGGUCUCAGAUGAUAAACCCCCAGGGUCUGGGUAUGCUCAAGUCAGGAAUUUUCCUAGCUCAGAUCUGGGAAACGUCUGACCUCCAGAUGUUGCUGGACUACAGCUCCCAUCAUCCCUAACUAUUGGCUGUGCUGCCUGCAGCUGAUGGGAGUUAGAGUCCAACAAUGUCUGGAGGUCCACAAGUGUUCUCCACCUGUACAUUAACUAUUGGAGUUCUGAGCCAUACAGGGCUCUGUAGGUUAAAACCAGCGCUUGGAUAGCUCUCCUUUCUCUUUGGGUUUUACUUUUCAGUAGGAGGAAGUUGCUGUGUCCCUGUGCAAACUGCUACUUUACACCUGCCUUUGGGCACUAAAGAUUUAAUUGCAUGCUCUCUCCCUCCCCCCUUUCUAUAAAUUUGAUUUCUUUUCUCUGGAGCGGGCAAUAUUUAAAUAUUAAUGCUUGCCUCUAAUUGCUCUGUAAGAAGAACUGUGGAUUCAAGGGGAGUAGUCCUUGGUGGCACCGGGGGUGGAGGGAGCGGCUGACAUGCCAGUUAAUUUUGUUUUCUCAGGGACUGUUUGUGGAAGAGUAAUGUUUAUAUAUUUCUAGUAGCAUUUGCACAGCCCUAAGGAGAGGGGAGGACUGGAGCAGGUCUGUGCGUGUGGAAACACCCACAGCCCCCAAUGAGCAAAUGGGUAUGAGCUAGAUUUGCUCUGGGGGAGGUGUGUGCAUGUGCAUGUAUAUCCUCUUUCACUAUCUCUGACUAUUGUUCUCCAGGGAACACCAUAAACCUAUCAAGGCCUUCUUCAUGUGUGCAGAGAGAUUGGGGUGGGGGUGGGGGUCUUACUCCAUGGACCUGUUUACUCACUUUGUUAACCUCCAUGAAGAAGCACCUCUUGCACUCUCCAGCCUCUGAGUUGUUUAGCCAGGUUGGGCUAGGGGCAAAGCCACAUCCUUUUGGGGAGACUGUACUUGCCUAGAAGGCAUGUGGUAGGCUAUCAGACUCUGUCUCUGUCUCUGUGUGUGAACUGUUAAUAUUGUAAGUAUUCCCAGUUUUAUUUAAUGUUUUUGACAAUUAUUUACAUAGAUUACUUGAUUAUUUGUACACCCUGAAUAGUUACGAUCAAUUGGUGGUGGUGGGAACACAUUAAUUCUUCUAGCUGGGAUAUGGUUUUAUUAUUGUUGUUGGUAUUAUUCAGGUUUCUAGCCCCUAAAGUCUGUGGGAGGUGAGGCUGGUGGACAGGGUGGGGGUGGGGACUUUCUUCUGGCCCUCCUGUGUGGCGAGUUUGCUGUCUGAUCAUUUUGCUUGCUGAAUGAUAUCUGGCAUUUUAAUUAUUUUUAAAUUUUUAUUGUAACAUAAUGACCAUUACUAAUGACCCAUUUGGCAUUUUAUUGUACUGCAUUGUGUACUUUGUUUUAACAUGCCAUUCACCUCCUUGUUACUCUUAGAAGGAAAUAGGGGCUCCCUAACAACUCUCAUUAUCUUUAACAAGCUACAGUUCCCAGGAUUCUUUGGGGGAAGCCAUAACUGUUUAAAGUGGUACGAUACUGCUUGAAAUGUGUUAAGUUCUAAAAUUUGUUUUUGUUCUUUUUUAUAUAUGUUGGUGGUGAGAGGACAGAAACUUGCAUCCUCUGAUACUGAAUUUUGCACCUUGCUCUUCACCCAUGGAGGAGCUGUAGAAGCCCCCACCAGCCUCAAGCAAAACAGGGAAUGGGUUGAAUAGGGCUGCAAAAAAGAAAAAAGAAAAAUCUCUAUUGCCUUUCAUUCCAGCCUGCAGCCUGCACUGUAUGCUGGCUGGCUUUGUGCAGGUAGCAGAGGGUUAAUUCAUGCUCCCCUGCCCCCUGCCCUCCCACUUUUGUUAUGGCCAGGCUGGCUGGCGGCUUCCUCUUAAUAAAGUAAACUCUGGCGUGUCUGUCACCUGCUCCAGGCAGUGGCGGCAGUUGCUCCUGCUCCUGCUCUGUAGUUGUGCCAAGUGGCAGACAGGCAACUUUGUGCUUGCUUGCAAGGUUGGUGGCGGCUGCUCUUAACUCCCUCCCUCCUUUCCUGCUUGGAACAGUUGCCCUGGGGCAGCAUGACCUUAGCAGGUGUUUCUCAGGGAGCGAGCCUUGGAGCCUGUUGCCACACGUCAAGCAGCAGCAGUGAGACGCUUUCUGACUUGCGCACUCUCUCUGACUUGCAGGAAUCCAGCAGCACAGUGCUUUGCCCGCUUCCAGCACCAUGUGUGUGUGUCUCCCUCCUCUGUGCCAAGGUGGCACAAAGCCCAGCCUGGUGUGGCAAGGCCAGGACCAGCAGCCAGGCUCCUCUCUUGCCCUUGGCUUCCUUCCAUUUUGAUAUCAUACCAGAGAAUGCUGGGCUGUGAAUCUGUUAUCUGCAAGGACAGGACCAGAUCCAAUAGUUGAGCCUCAGUCUCUAGCUUUUAGGGCAGAGCCCUGCUUGUCGCUGCAUGUGUGUGAGAGAGGUCCCCUCCAGCCCAACACCAUCCUCUGAUGCCAGUGUCAAACUUGGGGGUAUCUUGAGUUAGCUAAAUGCUUCAGGUUUUUCCCAACACGUUAAGAACAUAAGAAGAGCCGUCUGGAUCACGCCACAGUGACCCAUCAAGUGCAGUAAUCUGUUCUCACAGUGGCCAACCAGAUGCUUGUGAGAAACCAGCAAGCAGGAUUCAAACACAAGAGCACUCUCUCCUCCUGUGGUUUCCAGCAACUGGUAUUCCAAAGCAUUGCUGCCUCCAACUGGUGGGAAAGCAUAGCCAUUGCGCCCAGAAGCCAUCAGUAUCCCUUUCAUCCAUGAAUGUGUCUAUGAGUUCCAUAGCUGAACUAUGCACUGCAUGAAGUACUUUCUUUUAUCUGUCCUGAAUCUUCCACGUUGCAUUGGAUCAGGAGAUAACUCACUUAUGCUUGUUUGCUUGCAUAAGGCCCCCAUAGUUCCUUGUUUAAUCUGACCCCUUUAACAAGGCAGGCCAUUCUGUAAUCCAGUUAACACUAACCCAUUCUUACAUUAUGUGGAUUUGUGCGUAACACAAUGACAUAGUAGAACUUUAAAACGGUCAUGUAAAUUUUUAUGCUUCUUAGUGACCUAGUACAAACUUGACAUGUUAGAUCCAACUUUUUUCCCAAGGUGGUUGUUAUAAAUUGUUUCUUUUAUUGUAUCAACCUCCUCCUUCCAGAAUGGUUUCUCCGGGACCCACUGGCGCUAUGGGUAACGGCUACUUACACUGAAGCUUUGAGCCUCUUGCCUAGUUUCAGGCAGUGCUGAGUUGGAUAUGGUCAGAGCAUCUCCUGGCUUACGGCAAGAUUUCCACAUGCUUGCUUGUUGAAUAAGGGUGGGUGGGUACUUAUCCCCCCGCCCCUGACUGGGAAGAGACAAGCAAGCCUUGCUUUCCUAGCUUGCAUUGACCUUGAGGUGAGGUUCUAGAGAGUGCUAUGGAUAGGUUUGAGCUAGAGAGGCAACUCUCUGCAAGCCCAGCAAUGCUAGUUGUGGCUAACUGGGAGCAGUUAACCUGUCCCCCUUUGUUUGGAACCUGUUGAGGCCAGACAGGCCUUUCUUGCUCCCAAAGGCUACUGUGCAAGGUGGCUAAAUUCUGUCGCAAGAGUAAAACUGGCAUGAUGGCUUUGACUGUUCACCAGGCUCAAAAGGAGGGCAGCUCCACUCUGUGGCUUUUGACUCUGUGCCCAAGGGAAUUGGCUGACAUAAGGUUUUCUUUGAAGCGACUCUUGAGCUGCAGGAUUUGUGUGUACGUAUCCUGCCUGGCAGGUGCUUUUCUGAGAGCUUUAGGGCAGGCUUCCUCAACCUUGGCCCUCCAGAUGUUUUGAGACUACAAUUCCCAUCAUCCUUGACCACUGGUCCUGCUAGCUAGGGAUCAUGGGAGUUGUAGGCCAAAAACAUCUGGAGGGCCGAGGUUGAGGAAGUCUGGCUUAGGGGAAGGGUUUGGGGGUUGCCUUUCAGAAGCAGAGGAAAAAAGCUGAAGGGAGAAGGGAGACACUGUGUCUGGGUUGUACCAGGCAAACAGGCUCUGGACAUAGAAAUCUAUUGUGUCAGGGAGAAGAGUAGGCCUGAGCCAUCUUCUCUGACUUGCUAGGGUGUUGUUUUUUUAUGUGCUCACUUGAAUUCCUACCUGUAGGCUGAAACAAUACUGCCCAGAAAUGUUGGCUCUGCCAACUCAUUCAUUCAUUCAUUCAUUCUGACUUUCCUCCCAAAGGAACUCUGGUUGUCAAAUGUUAAAAUGAUACAAUUUU